rnacentral:tRNA from 1 species
GCUCCCUUCGUCUAUCGGUCAGGACGGCAGCCUCUCACGUUGCAAAGGCGGGUUCGAUUCCCGCAGGGAGCGCCA